UUAGACUGGUCAAGCAGUAUUAUAAAAUGUAAUAUCUCAGGCACAGCCUGUGCGCGCAUCCUGUAACAUCUAUGCCUUGGCACAAAUUAAACCCUUUCC